GGGCACAUGGUGUAGUGGUUAUCACGCUCGCUUUGCAUGCGAGUGGUCCCCGGUUCAAUCCCGGGUGUGUCCA